UACGAAGGGUGCUAGCGUUGCUCGGAAUUACUGGGCGUAAAGCGCACGUAGGCGGUCUUUUAAGUCGGGGGUGAAAUCCUGGAGCUCAACUCCAGAACUGCCUUCGAUACUGGAAGACUUGAGUCCGGGAGAGGUGAGUGGAACUGCGAGUGUAGAGGUGAAAUUCGUAGAUAUUCGCAAGAACACCAGUGGCGAAGGCGGCUCACUGGCCCGGUACUGACGCUGAGGUGCGAAAGCGUGGGGAGCAAACAGG
rnacentral:rRNA from 1 species